GACGAACGCUGGCGGCGUGCCUAAUACAUGCAAGUAGAACGCUGAAGAGAGGAGCUUGCUCUUCUUGGAUGAGUUGCGAACGGGUGAGUAACGCGUAGGUAACCUGCCUUGUAGCGGGGGAUAACUAUUGGAAACGAUAGCUAAUACCGCAUAACAAUGGCUGACACAUGUCAUUUAUUUGAAAGGGGCAAUUGCUCCACUACAAGAUGGACCUGCGUUGUAUUAGCUAGUAGGUGAGGUAAUGGCUCACCUAGGCGACGAUACAUAGCCGACCUGAGAGGGUGGUCGGCCACACUGGGACUGAGACACGGCCCAGACUCCUACGGGAGGCAGCAGUAGGGAAUCUUCGGCAAUGGGGGCAACCCUGACCGAGCAACGCCGCGUGAGUGAAGAAGGUUUUCGGAUCGUAAAGCUCUGUUGUAAGUCAAGAACGGGUGUGAGAGUGGAAAGUUCACACUGUGACGGUAGCUUACCAGAAAGGGACGGCUAACUACGUG
rnacentral:rRNA from 1 species